rnacentral:rRNA from 1 species
CAAAAACAUGUCUUUUUGAUUUUGAUUUAAGGUCUGGCCUGCCCAAUGAAUUUUAAAUGGCCGCAGUAUUUUGACUGUGCAAAGGUAGCAUAAUCAUUAGUUUCUUAAUUAGAAGCUGGGAUGAAAGGUUUGAUGAAAAAUUAACUGUCUCAUAAUUAUUUAAAUUGAAUUUUAUUUUUAAGUUAAAAAGCUUAGAUUUUGUAUAGGGACGAGAAGACCCUAUAGAGUUUUAUUAAUUUAUUUUUGGUUCGAGAGGAUUAGGUUUUAAAAUUUAAAUUAAUUUUGUUGGGGUGAUGGAGAAAUUUAUUAAACUUUCUUUAAUUUUUACACUUUUAAGUGAUUUUUUGAUCCUUUGUUUAAGAUUAAAAGAUUAAAUUACCUUAGGGAUAACAGCGUAAUUUCUUUUGAAAGUUCAAAUUUAUAAAGGAGUUUGCGACCUCGAUGUUGGAUUAAAGUUAAUUUUUGGUGUAGAGGCUGAAAAAUUAGGUCUGUUCGACCUUUAAAACUUUACAUGAUCU